GUAGGUGACAAGCGUUAUCCGGAUUUACUGGGUGUAAAGGGCGUGUAGGCGGUUUUGCAAGUCAGAUGUGAAAUUCCCAGGCUUAACCUGGGCGCUGCAUCUGAAACUGCAAGACUUGAGUACUGGAGAGGAUAGUGGAAUUCCUAGUGUAGCGGUAAAAUGCGCAGAUAUUAGGAGGAACACCGGUGGCGAAGGCGACUAUCUGGACAGUAACUGACGCUGAGGCGCGAAAGCGUGGGGAGCAAAC
rnacentral:rRNA from 1 species